UGGAAACACUUCUGCACAAACUCGAUUUUGAUGCCAGUGUGCGGAAAUGCUUCUGCU
rnacentral:pre_miRNA from 1 species